AAGACAUGGUCUGCUCUUGUGUCUCCACUCUCGGUUGCGGUUGAUGAUGCACUUUUGGAAGCUACUAGUUCUAUUGUUGCUACUGAAGAUACUUUGGCUGGCUCUCCCCCGACAAUCUUAUGUCAAGACUCAAGAGGUUAUUCCAGUGGAUGUUGGAACUUGUUCGGAAGCUGCUAUUAUUUCUGAUGCUGUUGGAGAUGUCCUAGCUACCUACCCCCUGGCAUCUCCAUCCCGGAUUCCCAUGGUUGAAUCUGAAUUACAGGACGUUACUGUCUACUCCGGGGGAGUGGGCCUUCCCAUGGUUGAAUCUGAAUUGCAGAACCUUAUGUCGCCAAGUCUGUUAGUUUAUUCCAGGAAAAGACAUCAAAAGUUACAACUGAUUGACGGUAUUGAUGAGAAUGGCAGUGUCGG
rnacentral:misc_RNA from 1 species